ensembl:piRNA 21ur-2495 ncRNA
UGUUAUUGUUCUUCAAGGAUA